rnacentral:lncRNA from 1 species
UUAAGGUCCUAAAGGAGAAUUCUGACUCUGAAAUUCAGAAGAAUGAGAGGCAUUUGGCAGUUAAGUCUGUGGGGCUGCAGCCCAGAAAGCUUGCAUCAAGAGUUCUGUUUCUAGUGGCCAGCUUUGAUAGUGUGGUACUUACUGGGCAGUACUCAGCUCUGGGGGGAGAAAAGCAUGGCAUCUGUAUCUGGUACAAAUAGGCUGUUUGAAGCAGCUGGAUUGGGCUAACAGCACUGGUAGCCAGGAGAGGAAGAAAAGGAGAGAAAGCUUACAGAUUUUUGUGAGGAUACCCUACAAUGCUUCGAAGAAAAAAUGGUGAUAAACUAAAUUAUAAUACUCAUUGGGGCUGGGCUUCCAGGUCAGAAUUAUGAAUGAAGUAUCAGUGAUGCAAAGAACUGUGAGGCUGCAAAGUUACCAGCUGCUGUUCAGGUCCCUCAAAGAUGUCCAUGUUCCACGGAGGAUGCCACAGCAAGCCUUGCAAUUAUAGGAGUGCAUCCAACACGUGCGGUGGAAAAAGAGGCUCUUCUCAGUGCUCUUUGUGGAUGAGUAGGAGUGAUGCUGAUUCCCACAACAGGAUGAAAAUGGUAACGACGCAGUGCUUAAAAAAAGGAGAAUGAGCCGCCCCUCAGUCCGGUGGCGCCUGUUGACACGUCAUGCUGUAACGCACACUCCACAGGAAGGAAGAUAAGGUGGCAUUUCAGAGAUGUUCAUACCAUAGGAUGCCCACUGCUUGGGAUGAGGGGCAGGGUGGCUGUCAGCACUCCCAUCUCAGGAGCUGUUUUUGGUAGCAGCCACGGGGAAAGCCAAAGAAGUCAAGCACUGAGGGAUGAAGACAAAGAACAAACAUUAUAAGGGACACAGAUUAUUAAAAGAAGCUUGGCCACACUACCUCCCCAUAAGCGACUGCCGUUUGUGUUAUCACAGUGCUGAAGGAGAGCUGGGAGUGAGCUGUCAGCGGAUGGGCCUGCUGAAGCGAAUCACGUUCUGCACUGCGUGCUCUGCAGCUCCCGAACAAAACGGGCUAAGCAGGAAACAAAAGCUGGGCUCUGACUCCUGCUGCACUGGCUCAAAGGCAGGACACGUGGCAGGACGGGCCCAGGGAAGGGCUGGGGCAGAGCCCCACAGGUGCCUUCACACCCCCGCGGUUCCGUGAUCGUGUGCCUGAGGUCGGAGCUCUCCUAUGCUGCACGUGUAUGGGAUGGGAUCGCCGCUCCUGGGCCUCGGGGGCUCAUGACUCGAAAUGUGAAUCUAAUUUUUUUCUUUAGGAAGAUUUGACUUCAAAUGCCAUUAAAUCACGCAGUUAUAGAA